UACGGAGGGUGCAAGCGUUAUCCGGAUUCACUGGGUUUAAAGGGUGCGUAGGUGGGCUAGUAAGUCAGUGGUGAAAUCUCCGGGCUUAACCCGGAAACUGCCAUUGAUACUAUUAGUCUUGAAUGUCGUGGAGGUAAGCGGAAUAUGUCAUGUAGCGGUGAAAUGCUUAGAUAUUACAUGGAAUACCAAUUGCGAAGGCAGGUUACUAUCAAUAUAUUGACGCUGAUGGACGAAAGCGUGGGGAGCGAACAGG
rnacentral:rRNA from 1 species